rnacentral:lncRNA from 1 species
CGGGAGCCCGUGACGCAGGGGUCCUGAAGCUGCGCAAGGCUAGCGGGUGGGAACCGGUGCAUGGCACCGCACCCCUAGCAGAGACUUCUGCUUGCAGAAUUCAGAGUUGCUUUUCCGAAUAAGUCUGUGCAGCCAACUGCCGUGUACCCUGCAGAGAGAGAAGAAAUCGGAGGGGAGUGGGAGAGAAAAACUCGAUUUGACAAUAUCGAUUUAUAGGGAGAGGACGUUAAUCCUGGAGACGUGAUAAAUCUUUUCCUGUAAGGCGAAAAAAGUGGAGGAGCGUGCUAAA